rnacentral:lncRNA from 1 species
CUGCUUCUUCCUUUCUUUCUAGAAGGAUAUUCUCAAUUCUUUCAGUUUAUCUUCCUAUAGUACUAAGAGCAAGAUUGGUAAAGUUUUGUUGUUCAAUAAUUUGCCCAAGAUGUUCUACCUUAGGAGUUUCUUUAAGACCAAUAGCAAAUAGUUUUAUAGGAUUAGCAUGAAUUCCUCCAUCAACUAGUAUUGGUUCAAAAGGAGGAUGUCUUGAAUCUACAUCAGGACCUCUUUCAAUUUUCUAUGAUUUAAAAAUAGUUUUGACCAUAGCAACUUGUAGGCC